rnacentral:rRNA from 1 species
GAUGAACGCUGGCGGCGUGCCUAAUACAUGCAAGUCGAGCGAACGGACGAGAAGCUUGCUUCUCUGAUGUUAGCGGCGGACGGGUGAGUAACACGUGGAUAACCUACCUAUAAGACUGGGAUAACUUCGGGAAACCGGAGCUAAUACCGGAUAAUAUUUUGAACCGCAUGGUUCAAAAGUGAAAGACGGUCUUGCUGUCACUUAUAGAUGGAUCCGCGCUGCAUUAGCUAGUUGGUAAGGUAACGGCUUACCAAGGCAACGAUGCAUAGCCGACCUGAGAGGGUGAUCGGCCACACUGGAACUGAGACACGGUCCAGACUCCUACGGGAGGCAGCAGUAGGGAAUCUUCCGCAAUGGGCGAAAGCCUGACGGAGCAACGCCGCGUGAGUGAAGAAGGUCUUCGGAUCGUAAAACUCUGUUAUUAGGGAAGAACAAAUGUGUAAGUAACUAUGCACGUCUUGACGGUACCUAAUCAGAAAGCCACGGCUAACUACGUGCCAGCAGCCGCGGUAAUACGUAGGUGGCAAGCGUUAUCCGGAAUUAUUGGGCGUAAAGCGCGCGUAGGCGGUUUUUUAAGUCUGAUGUGAAAGCCCACGGCUCAACCGUGGAGGGUCAUUGGAAACUGGAAAACUUGAGUGCAGAAGAGGAAAGUGGAAUUCCAUGUGUAGCGGUGAAAUGCGCAGAGAUAUGGAGGAACACCAGUGGCGAAGGCGACUUUCUGGUCUGUAACUGACGCUGAUGUGCGAAAGCGUGGGGAUCAAACAGGAUUAGAUACCCUGGUAGUCCACGCCGUAAACGAUGAGUGCUAAGUGUUAGGGGGUUUCCGCCCCUUAGUGCUGCAGCUAACGCAUUAAGCACUCCGCCUGGGGAGUACGACCGCAAGGUUGAAACUCAAAGGAAUUGACGGGGACCCGCACAAGCGGUGGAGCAUGUGGUUUAAUUCGAAGCAACGCGAAGAACCUUACCAAAUCUUGACAUCCUUUGACAACUCUAGAGAUAGAGCUUUCCCCUUCGGGGGACAAAGUGACAGGUGGUGCAUGGUUGUCGUCAGCUCGUGUCGUGAGAUGUUGGGUUAAGUCCCGCAACGAGCGCAACCCUUAAGCUUAGUUGCCAUCAUUAAGUUGGGCACUCUAAGUUGACUGCCGGUGACAAACCGGAGGAAGGUGGGGAUGACGUCAAAUCAUCAUGCCCCUUAUGAUUUGGGCUACACACGUGCUACAAUGGACAAUACAAAGGGCAGCGAAACCGCGAGGUCAAGCAAAUCCCAUAAAGUUGUUCUCAGUUCGGAUUGUAGUCUGCAACUCGACUACAUGAAGCUGGAAUCGCUAGUAAUCGUAGAUCAGCAUGCUACGGUGAAUACGUUCCCGGGUCU